UAGCAGGGAACAUACAGAAGCUCAGCACCUCAAAAGCAUAGUUUAGAAUGAGGUGGCAGAGUCAUGGAGGCCUCUAGUGGUCAGGUUUUCAAAGCAGCAUUAAAGGAAGCAAAUAGAAACAAACCAGCCUGUAGACAGCAGCUCAACAGGGAAAGCCAGGUGUGUAAAAAGGAAUGCAAGAGGAACCAUGAGUCUGGAGGAAAGUGGCAGUAACUGUGGACUGGGAUUAAUUUCUGAUCAGGGUUCCUGCAAAGUUCAGCCCUUAGUUUGAAUGUAAAUUCGGAAGGUAGCUGGAUAAUUCACUACUUGUUCAUUUCCCAGGUUAUUUGGUGAAAUAGCAAGUAUCUUUUUAAAAGCCAGCUAUAGUUGAAGUGGGUGAAAUUAUAAAUCAGGAUUCAAGGAGCAAUACUUUGUUUCAGGAAAUGAAAUGAAAAAUGAAUAAUUUAGUCCCACCUACCUACUGUGCAAAGCGUGUUUAUGAGAUACUGAGCAUCCUGCUUGGCAUUAGUAAGGAAGGAAGACGCUUUAUAUUUCUCUUUUUGUACCUUUAUGGCAUUACUCCUGCAAAUAAUGCUCUGUUUUCCGUGCUGUGAUAAAACACUAAAAAAAGUGAAAAUCAAAACUCUUUUGGUUCUGGCUUUUGUCCAGGUGUAAAAUUCACUUCAACGCAGGAAGGCCCAAAUUACAUCGUCAGCACCACCCAAACCCCACCAACUGGGUUCAAAGUGUUUACUCAGUGGCGUGAAAGGCUUUGCAUUGACUUGGGAAAGUUCAUCCCUAAAUACAAGUUUUUGGGAAGAAGUAUCACAGCGCUUCCCUCUUGCUUUACCUCUCCCCCUGUGCAUUUAAAAAAAGUGCCCGAGCAUAAAAAUUAAAUUUUUUAGCAUGAACUGUACCACUGAAGAUUCAAGUUUGAAGAACAGCUAUUUUCAAAGUUGUAUUUGUACAGUUCCCACAGUGUUACGGGGACACGAGUCAGUCUCCAAUACCACAUUUUUGCAUACGUGAAGGUUAAUCCUUGUAUUAGAGGUUAAAUCAAAGCUGGUUCUUGGAGUGGACACAAUUUCAAGGGUUGUGCAUGCUUCUUGUAAAUGUCUCCUAAAGCUAUGUGCAUGGACACAGCCUUAACCAAAUAGCAUUAAGUGCCAAAAUUCUAACUAGAUAUCCAAUACAAAAAUCAGAUCUUUUAAAGAUCGGUAGCUACACAGCCACUUGAUUUUACUUAGCUCAUUUUCAGAAGAUACCUACAACUCCUUUGCUACUUUUCAAGGUGAUGAUGACUUCACUCAUACUCAGUUUUUUUGGGAAGGCACAUACAGCUUCCCCAAAGCUGCCAUCUGGAAUAAAACACUCCCUUUUAAGCAGGCUUUGUGGGGACAAUGGUACUUUGAACUGCUGUGAUUCUCCACUAUCUAUGGUUGUUUGAAGGAUGAACAGCACUCAGAUCGCACUUUUAUCACCCAGACCAAAGGGUAAUAACCUUAUGGAAAUUAGUUCAGUAUGCAGAUUGCUUGCAGGUAAGCUUAUUGCUCACAAAACACAUUUUGCUAGCUUACCUUAGAAAUGAGAGAUUUCCAAGACUUAAAAUGACAUCCAGUUUCUGUAUUGUUCAGUUAUGUCAGCAUGAAGGCUAUUUUGCACAAAAUAAAAAAAAUUUGCUUAUAUAGGACACUUCUGUUGUGUAACGCCCAUACUAAAAGACACUCGUCUCGGAAAGGUGUUUUAAAUACUCCUCUGCUUUGUGCAAAGCUCAUGUUGACUCAGUCCAGAGCACCACCAAUGCUCUGUUCACAAGGGUCAGCCUGCAGAGAGCUCAACACAAAGUAGUGCAAAACAAUACAUUUUUAUUUGUUCACAGUUAAACACAAGCAACUGCCUUGACAUUUUUAGAACAUUCUAAUAAGGACAGCAAAACCUCCUUUUGGUUUAGGUUCUCUUUAGCUUAGAUUGUACCAUUUUUCCUUGCAUUUCAUAUUUAUGGCAUUUAAUGUGGAUUGUUUAACAUGCUUACAAAGAGCGAGGCAGGGAACAGAUCAACUUUCGACAAAGACAGCAUCUUCAGAUUUAACUAAAAGCAAUCAGUUAAAAAAAAAAUCUGUUUCCACUUCACUGAUGGGAUCCCUUUAACCAAACUGCAAGUUAACUACAUACAGCAGAUCCAUGAUUUUAGAUUUACAAAACAAUGGCAAAAGUUUGUUCCUCCAUAAUCUCUGUGGUCCAUAGAUAAAC